ACUUAUGGCCAUAUCACGUUGAAAGCACCGGUUCUCGUCCGAUCACCGAAGUUAAGCAACAUCGAGCCUAGUUAGUACUUAGAUGGGUGACCGCUUGGGAAACCUAGGUGCUGUAAGCA
rnacentral:rRNA from 1 species